rnacentral:rRNA from 1 species
UACAGAGGUGGCAAGCGUUGUUCGGAAUUACUGGGCGUAAAGGGCGCGUAGGCGGUCCUCUAAGUCUUGUGUGAAAUCCCUCGGCUCAACUGAGGAACUGCACGGGAUACUGGAAGACUUGAGUUCGGGAGAGGGAAGCGGAAUUCCGGGUGUAGAGGUGAAAUUCGUAGAUAUUAGGAAGAACACCAGUGGCGAAGGCGGCUCACUGGUCCGGUACUGACGCUGAGGUGCGAAAGCGUGGGGAGCGAACAGG